rnacentral:snoRNA from 1 species
CCCCUCUUAGGAUCUCAUCUGGAGAGUUUCCAGUACUCUACCAGUCUCGACUAUGAGAGGGAGAGUCAAGCAGAGGCAUACCCAUUCCAUUCCUAGCUUGGCCAGUGGCUAGCAAGAGGAAGGCAAUCUGCUACAAGU